rnacentral:rRNA from 1 species
CAGUCGCCGCGGUAAUACGUAGGUGGCAAGCGUUGUCCGGAAUUAUUGGGCGUAAAGGGCUUGCAGGCGGUUUCUUAAGUCUGAUGUGAAAGCCCCCGGCUCAACCGGGGAGGGUCAUUGGAAACUGGGAAACUUGAGUGCAGAAGAGGAGAGUGGAAUUCCACGUGUAGCGGUGAAAUGCGUAGAGAUGUGGAGGAACACCAGUGGCGAAGGCGACUCUCUGGUCUGUAACUGACGCUGAGGAGCGAAAGCGUGGGGAGCGAACAGGAUUAGAUACCCCUGUAGUCCCUGUCUCUUAUAC